CCAAGACCAAGACCAACCGUAAGUGUGUUGCGGUUUCGCUCUGCAGUGAAGGAGUUCUUUAUCCCCAAUCAUCUGUGAGCACAAGUUCCAGGUACGGACUUAAGCCAACGGUACAGUGGCUUGCAGCUUUAUCUUGCGUGUGGGUGGACAGAGUUCGACUCCCCCUUGUAGCCUGUGUACGCAAGCACCAGCACAGCCAUUACUGAAUACGUCAGGGGCGCGGAUAGCUGUGUGCUGUGUUGAGCUGUGUUGACUUGGCGGCGCUGUGGGACGAUGGCUGCGGCACUUGUGUAUUACCUGACGAAGGACACACCUGCUGAAUACAAGCCUGACGAACCACACACGCACACACACAUAUAUACCUGACAAAGGACACAUCUGCAGAAUACAAACCUGAUGGACAACACACACACACACACACACACACACACACACACACACACACACACACACACACACACACACACACACACACACACACACACACACACACACACACCUGCAGCUGCCUUGGAAACUUAAC